UACAGAGGGGGCAAGCGUUGUUCGGAAUUACUGGGCGUAAAGGGCGCGUAGGCGGCCGCCUAAGUCAGACGUGAAAUCCCUCGGCUCAACCGGGGAACUGCGUCUGAUACUGGGUGGCUUGAAUCCGGGAGAGGGAUGCGGAAUUCCAGGUGUAGCGGUGAAGUGCGUAGAUAUCUGGAGGAACACCGGUGGCGAAGGCGGCAUCCUGGACCGGCAUUGACGCUGAGGCGCGAAAGCCAGGGGAGCAAACGGG
rnacentral:rRNA from 1 species